rnacentral:rRNA from 1 species
GUUCUGACAAAAUCUCGUGCCAGCAGUCGCGGUAAAACGAGGGGAGCAAGCGUUAAUCAAAAUAUUAGGUCUAAAGGGUUUGUAGGCGGUUUAAUAAAUUAUUUAUAACUUUUAUAAAAUUAUUAGACUAGAGUAUUAAAGGAGAUAUUGGUAUUUGGUAUGGAGAGGUCGAAUUUGAAUAUAUCAAAGACAAUUAUGACGAAAGUAGAUAUCUAAAUAAUUACUGACGCUAAGAAACGAGAGCUAGGGUAGCGAAACGGAUUUGAUACCCGAAUAGUCCUAGCUGUAAACGAUGAAUGCUAAUUAUAUAUAAUAAUAUUAUUAUUUAUAAAAUAUAAAAUAUAAAAUAUAAAAUAUAAAAUAUAUGAUAAAGUGAAGACGUUAAGCAUUCCACCUGAGAAGUACGUUCGCAAGAAUGAAAUUCAAGACAUUAGGCGGUUGUAGGCAACAGCAGUUAAGCAU